UCCCGGAACGAAAGCGGAAGAGGGGCCAGC
rnacentral:piRNA from 1 species